rnacentral:rRNA from 1 species
CCUACGGGUGGCUGCAGUGGGGAAUAUUGCACAAUGGGCGCAAGCCUGAUGCAGCCAUGCCGCGUGUGUGAAGAAGGCCUUCGGGUUGUACAGCACUUUCAGCGGGGAGGAAGGCGUUAAGGUUAAUAACCUUGGCGAUUGACGUUACCCGCAGAAGAAGCACCGGCUAACUCCGUGCCAGCAGCCGCGGUAAUACGGAGGGUGCAAGCGUUAAUCGGAAUUACUGGGCGUAAAGCGCACGCAGGCGGUCUGUCAAGUCGGAUGUGAAAUCCCCGGGCUCAACCUGGGAACUGCAUUCGAAACUGGCAGGCUAGAGUCUUGUAGAGGGGGGUAGAAUUCCAGGUGUAGCGGUGAAAUGCGUAGAGAUCUGGAGGAAUACCGGUGGCGAAGGCGGCCCCCUGGACAAAGACUGACGCUCAGGUGCGAAAGCGUGGGGAGCAAACAGGAUAGAUACCCGGGUAGUC